rnacentral:rRNA from 1 species
UGGGGAAUAUUGCACAAUGGAGGGAACUCUGAUGCAGCGACGCCGCAUGAACGAAGAAGGCUUUCGAGUCGUAAAGUUCUUUUAUAUGGGAAGAUAAUGACGGUACCAUAAGAAAAAGCCCCGGCUAACUACGUGCCAGCAGCCGCGGUAAUACGUAGGGGGCUAGCGUUGUCCGGAAUCACUGGGCGUAAAGGGUUCGCAGGCGGAAAUGCAAGUCAGGUGUAAAAGGCAGUAGCUUAACUACUGUAAGCAUUUGAAACUGCAUAUCUUGAGAAGAGUAGAGGUAAGUGGAAUUUUUAGUGUAGCGGUGAAAUGCGUAGAUAUUAAAAAGAAUACCGGUGGCGAAGGCGACUUACUGGGCUCAUUCUGACGCUGAGGAACGAAAGCGUGGGUAGCAAACGGG